rnacentral:tRNA from 1 species
GGCCUAACAACCCCUAAAGUGCAAAUUUAGAUUAGAAGUUUUUUCAUAGGCCU